rnacentral:lncRNA from 1 species
GGAAGAGCGGGCGGAGCUCUCGGAAGCCAAGUCCGCAGCGUUGCGCCUCCCGCGGGUGGCUGCGCCGCGGGGCCGAGGUUGCUGUGCUGCGCCGGAAGCCACCGGCCGCCCAGAGAAACAGCAAAUGACAGAGCAGAGGACAGCUGGCCCCAGCCAAACCUGUUGCUGCUGCAGUGCUUGUUAUGUCAGGAUAGUGGGGUCUCUGGACCCUUCCCCUCCCUUGCUGAGGCUCCUGGAUGCCCUCCUGCCAGGCUGUACAUUCUGCCUUUAGCCAGGGUGGUGUUGGUGUCAUGGCCCCAACUGCCAUCCAGCAGGGGAAGAAGAAUGCAACAGCCAGAUCAAGGCGUAGAACUCUCAGCUCCUCCAGCACUAUGUCUGCCUGCACACCGCCAUACUUCCCGCCAUGAUGACAAUGGACUACACCUCCAAAACUAGCCCUGGGUUCAUGGAUUCCUGCUGUCAUUUCACGUGGUUGAUGAGAAGUGUCCGUAAAAAGCCAGCCCCUGCCUCAUGACUUUGGGCUCAUAGAAGCUCCAGAGGUGCUUACAUCAUGUCAGACCCCUGGAAGCUUCUUGAUCGUGUCCUCAGCUUCCUCUCUAGAUCUGCCUCCCCAGAAAGGCGUAAGCCAGUAGAGUCCAGGUGCUCACCUGAAGAGGCAGAAGAACUUGAAUCAUCUUAUUUUGGGGUCAGAGAACUCAAAGAGUACAGCUCCAUCUGUAAGUAGGUGACAACCUCUUGGCAACUCGAGCUCAGCUGAGGAUGAUGUGUGUGCAUCUAAGCUGGUUAGAGCGGUCAGCUUACAUUUUUAUGGAACAGAAAAGAGGACCUGCUUGACCACUCUGCUUGCAGUAGAUGCUGAUAGAUGACAGGUCAUGCUGGAUGAAGUUGCUGAGGUGGGAUGGCCAGUAGGAUGCCAUGUUUAGAAAAGGAAAGACUUGGGUACUCAAUAUGGCCAAAGGUGGUUAUGUCUUAUGUCAAAUAUCAGCUCCUAGUGUCUCCUCUGUUUCCUGCUUGACUUGCCCUGUUCAAGAAUAUCUUCUGACUUUUCUUCACUCUUUUGGAUCUUUUACUCUCUGUGCUUUCCUACACCCCUCUUCUUCCCUUUGAUUUUUUUUUUCUUUAGGAUGAAUGAGGACAUUCUCAGUUACUGGUCCAAAGUAACUGUUCUUUCUGUUUUGUAUCUUCACCUUCAUUUAGCAAGGCAGGUAGAGGAGGUUGUCCUGGGAAGGGAGGUGGGUGGUGAAUAAGCUCAUGGUGUUGGGUGCUGGAGCAUGGUAAGUUAGAUCGUCUUUUCUUUCUUUAGGUAAUCUUGAGCCACCAAUUUGUGUGGUUCCGUGACCUCAGGUGUGGUCUGAUGCAACAUGGACCUAGUCUUGUUGGUGGAUUAAUAUCAGGCUAUUGAUUAGAAACUAGAAGCAACAAAGGAAAGGCUUGAGCUUGCCUCCCAUGUAGCUGGAGUGUGGCUGCUCCCUGGAUCUGUUCCUUGAAACUUUACCAUUGAGAACCUCCAACAGUUGUCCUUUUUUCCAUUCUUCCAUUCCUGAUUUUUCUAUGAAUGGAAUGAGUAACUGGCGGAGUCCUGGUAUAAGGUCAGCCUGCUCAACUAGCUAGGCUGUGAGAUAUUUGGGAGAUAUCUGGGUAGCACUGUAGACAGUGUGUGGCCGUACCAGGGCACCUUUGCUUCCUACAGUCAGAGAAAGGAAGCUUCUUUGCUGCUGACAUCUAACCUGAGCUUAUUCUGGGUUAUCGUUCCCCUUUCAAUCCCUAAGAUCCUGGGAGCUGCCCAGGGCUCAAGCAUGCUCUUUCCUGUGCAGAGUGUUUAUUUGCCUUACUCUGGACACACUGAGCCUUUAAGGGGCUUAGGCUAGGUCUGGGGUCUAAAGCUUAGGCUAAGGAGUGACUGGAUUCUGAAUUUUUCUCUACUUGGGAUUUUCCUUUGAAUGAAUCAUUUUCUUCUUUCGGCCUUCAGUUGUCUUCAGAAUAUCUCCAGGCACUUGACAGGGAAAAUCUUCUCCUGCUUUACCGCCAGAGCAGUAUUGAGUUAAAGUGAUGGUGUCCCUCAAAACUGGGAAGACAGCUCCAUUGCAGACACAAACCAGAAAGCAGACAGCAGGUGCUUGCUGGGAUACUCAGAAUUCCCUGUCUAUCAUUGCUGGCAGUGUUCUUGGCCCCUAGGGCUAGUGGGAACUAACUAACAGCCAGAUGUCUAGGGUCUAAGGAGAAAAGGAAUAAUCCUGGCUAAUUCUACUGGGUACCUGUGGAAUCUCAAUGCCAGCUAGCCCAUGCAGCUACUCUGCUGGCAUGGUGUAGAUGUGUUUCACCUUCCCUGCCCCUCCCACUACUGUCCAAGGAAGAUUAAUGAAUCCCAUCUCACAUGUUUAAUUGUCUUGUGUCUCCCUUUGGGACAAGCCUCUGAGAUCCCUGGCAAGAACAGUCAAUUUGGAUGAGUUAUCUGUUAUUUCAAGGAGCUGAACCAGUUCAUUUUACUGCCUCAGUGGUGUGUGAGGGUCAGCUGGGGGUGGGGGUAAAAGGGCUGAAGUUUGAAUAAAGAGUUAAGUUCAGUUGGCUUUACAGCUGGGAGGUGGAAAGGAAUAAACUUGGUUCUUAGAGAUGAGCCCCACUGGAAGCCAGAUGUGCUGCUAGCUAUGCCUCAGAACCUUAGGGCUUGUGCCCUACUGUGGUGACCUCUGCUACCAUUCACAGCCCUUCCUUUGCCUGAUUAGGAAAGUGAG